rnacentral:rRNA from 1 species
AACCUAUGGUUUGGUCUUGACCCUUUGGUCCAAAUAUCAACAGAAUCUAGAAUAAGUUUUAGACUUCUACCCAAUACUUCCUCAUCUUCGUAAGACUACCCGCUGAACUUAAGCAUAUCAAUAAGCGGAGGAAAAGAAACCAACAGGGAUUGCCUCAGUAACGGCGAGUGAAGCGGCAAAAGCUCAAAUUUGAAAUCCCCCGGGAAUUGUAAUUUGAAGGUGGCCUCAGUUAGUCCAAACAUUCUUAAGUCCAUUGGAAAAUGGCGCCAUGGAGGGUGAUAGCCCCGUAAAGAUGUCGUUUGUUCUAUUUUCUCUGGCCACCAAAGAGUCGAGUUGUUUGGGAAUGCAGCUCUAAGUGGGUGGUAAAUUCCAUCUAAAGCUAAAUAUUGGCGAGAGACCGAUAGCGAACAAGUACAGUGAUGGAAAGAUGAAAAGCACUUUGAAAAGAGAGUGAAAAAGUACGUGAAAUUGUUGAAAGGGAAGGGCUUGCAAGCAGACACAACCUCGUGUUGGGCCAGCAUCGGGGCGAGAGGAAGUAAAAACGAUUUGGAAAUGUA